rnacentral:rRNA from 1 species
ACGCUGGCGGCGUGCCUAACACAUGCAAGUCGAACGAGAUGCGUAUCGGAAAGCUUCGGCCGGAAGAUACGUUAUCUAGUGGCGGACGGGUGAGUAACACGUGGGUAACCUGCCUUAUGGAGGGGGAUAACAGAGAGAAAUCACUGCUAAUACCGCAUAAGCACACAGUACCGCAUGGUACAGGGUGAAAAGAUUUAUCACCAUAAGAUGGACCCGCGUCUGAUUAGCCAGUUGGCAGGGUAAAAGCCUACCAAAGCAACGAUCAGUAGCCGAUCUGAGAGGAUGACCGGCCACAUUGGGACUGAGACACGGCCCAAACUCCUACGGGAGGCAGCAGUGGGGAAUAUUGCACAAUGGGGGAAACCCUGAUGCAGCGACGCCGCGUGAGUGAAGAAGUAUUUCGGUAUGUAAAGCUCUAUCAGCAGGGAAGAUAAUGACAGUACCUGACUAAGAAGCCCCGGCUAACUACGUGCCAGCAGCCGCGGUAAUACGUAGGGGGCAAGCGUUAUCCGGAUUUACUGGGUGUAAAGGGAGCGUAGACGGAAUGGCAAGUCUGAAGUGAAAUACCCGGGCUCAACCUGGGAACUGCUUUGGAAACUGUUGUUCUAGAGUGUUGGAGAGGUAAGUGGAAUUCCUGGUGUAGCGGUGAAAUGCGUAGAUAUCAGGAAGAACACCGGAGGCGAAGGCGGCUUACUGGACAAUAACUGACGUUGAGGCUCGAAAGCGUGGGGAUCAAACAGGAUUAGAUACCCUGGUAGUCCACGCUGUAAACGAUGAAUACUAGGUGUCGGGGUGCAAAGCAUCUCGGUGCCGUCGCUAACGCAAUAAGUAUUCCACCUGGGGAGUACGUUCGCAAGAAUGAAACUCAAAGGAAUUGACGGGGACCCGCACAAGCGGUGGAGCAUGUGGUUGAA